rnacentral:lncRNA from 1 species
GGGUGUGGGGGUUGCGACGCAGGGAGAGCAGGAAGGGGGAGAACCCUUCUUCUCCAUCUUACCAAGAAAAUCUACAAAUUGAAGGCGAUUUUGGAUGAAUUUCGUUUGCAUGAGGAUAACGGGUCAAGAUAAGGCAAGGUGACAAAUACACUUAUUGGAGUACUCAAGGUUAUGAAUGUCGGACUUUCGAAGUGUUGAUAUAAUAAUGAAACGGUUGAAUGUUGAAAGGAUAAUCGGAUUGAAGUAACUUAUGCGGUUAGAAUAUGCUAUGGACGUUUUAGUUUAUACAACAUUUUAUGUUUGGUCAUCAUCUACCAACGGGUUAGUUGUUUGAAAAUAUAUGUCAUACCCAUUUAAUUGGGUAAUCGAAUGCGUGAGAAAAAUGAAAGUACAUGCACGAAUGGAACUAAAGUGACGGUUUUAUAAGUAAAUAAGUAAAUGACUAACUUUUUAAAGCUUUGUUGUUGAAUGUAGGUAAAUCCUCAAUUCAGGCGACUUGGAGAAUCGGAGCGCGUGUUCAUGUUAUGUCAUACCAAACGCUUCCGCUAGCUUGUUCAAAUGUUUUUAGUCCAAAAUUUGUUGUUUUGGUUCUUAGUUGUAUUUUGUCGAAUGAAUCGUAGAAUUGUAUCUAGUUUGUUUAUGUUUAAAACAGGGGUAUGCUCGUUUUAUGGACGGGUCAUGCCCACUUUUUGUUAAAUUAAUGCACCUGCGUUAUUGAUAUUAUCAUUUAAAAUUCCGAAAAGUUGGACACUUUUAAGAAAAUUUUUAUAUUUCUGGUGUCCUUCAGUCGUCUUUUAUUAGACGCAAACGCGGACGUAACAAGUUGGUAUCAGAGCCUAGGUUUGAGGGAUUCGAGCAAGAGUAAUAAUAGUGCUUGAACUCAAACCGAAGGCUCGUGUAAAGGUGUGCUCGCUCCGAGGUCGCCAAUGAGGUAAAAUUUUAAGUAUUCGUUUAAUACGAGUAUGAUGUAAAUAUUUAAGCUAUAUAUAUGUAUAUAUAUACAGGAAGUAAAGUUGGAGGUUAAACGAGAAGUUCAGGGACCGUAUGGCUGGAACCGAACCGAAAAACGAUUAAUAAGCCCAAAACAAAGAAUGCAGCGAUUUUAGUAAACGUGAGGCCGUCGCCGACGGGUUGUUACCCGUCGCCGACGCCCCUUUUUGGGCCGACGCCCUAUCUAACUGCUUACGGGAACUCUGGCCGACGCCCUUUUUAAGAGCCCGUCGCCGACGGACAUCUUAGCCGUCGCCGACGGCUUACAUAAUUUCAGUCCGCUGAAAUUUCAAGUUUUCAUAAUUUUAACUAACCGUCCAUCCCGGAAGCCCGAUUCACGGAUUCCAUUGAGUUCUUAUGAGACUAAGUAAGCCGUGUAGGGAUAGAACAAAUUGAUAGUAAAUGGUUGUGCGUAAUGGUAUGAAACAAAAGACGAAUGUAUGAAGUGAAGCUCGAAAUGUAAGACUGUGAAUAAGUAAUAUGGACUAAUGAACUAUGAUGUGUUGAAAGCUUAUGAUCCGUAUUAAAUGUAAACAUGACAUUGUGUAGAUGGCUGAUGCAAGCAACGUUAAUGAUGAUGAUGAUACUAAUGUGUUAAAUGUUUUGUGAAGGGUAAGCGCAAUUGUUGGAAGAGAUGAUCCGUGAAUGCGGUCUAGGACCGGCAUCGAGGCAAGUAAUGAAACAAAUUGACCCCAGGUACGUAAACCUAACGUAUGGGCGUAUGAAAUGGUAUGGUUAAG